UUCCGGCGUUGACUCCAAUUGAACCGCAGGCUUCACCCCUUGUGGUGCUCCCCCGCCAAUUCCUUUAAGUUUCAUACUUGCGUACGUACUUCCCAGGCGGCAAACUUAACGGCUUCCCUGCGGCACUGCACUGGCCAAAAGCCAGUGCAUCACCGAGUCUGCAUCGUUUACAGCUGGGACUACCCGGGUAUCUAAUCCGGUUUGCUCCCCCAGCUUUCAUCCCUCACCGUCGAACGUGUUCUGGUAGACCGCCUUCGCCACAGGUGGUCAUCAAGAGAUCAAAGGAUUUUACCCCUUCCUCCCGAGUACCGUCUACCUCUCCCACUCCCUAGUUCUGCAGUAUUUCCGGCAGCCCAUUAGUUGAGCUAGUGGAUUUAACCGGAAACUUACAGAACCGGCUACGGAUGCUUUAGGCCCAAUAAUCCUCCUGACCACUUGAGGUGCUGGUUUUACCGCGGCGGCUGACACCAGAACUUGCCCACCCCUUAUUCAUCAGUGGUUUUAGAACUAACAAAAGAUUCCUUUAGCAGGAAACACUCGGAUUAACCUUGUCGUGCUUGCGCACAUUGCAAAGGUUUCUCGCCUGCUGCGCCCCAUAGGGCCUGGGUCCGUGUCUCAGUACCCAUCUCCGGGCUUCUCCUCUCAGAGCCCGUACCUGUAAUAGCCUUGGUGGGCCAUUACCUCACCAACAAGCUGAUAGGCCGCAGUCCCAUCCUAUGGCGACGAAUCAUUUGGACCAUAAACCGUUCCAGGCAUUAUGAUCUAUCGCGGAUUAUUCUCAGUUUCCCGAGGUUAUCCACGUCCAUAGGGCAGAUUGACUACGUGUUACUGAGCCGUAUGCCUUGUAUUGCUACAAUGACUCACAUGGCUUAGUACCAAUCCGAUAGCAGUCAGGU
rnacentral:rRNA from 1 species